ensembl:snRNA
UGGUUGGGUCAAAGGAGAGAUGGUAUAUAGAACUCCCCCAGGAAAAGAAGGGCUGAGAUUUUACUCAGUAAUCACACUUAUUAGUUUUCUUGUAGACCAUUUUAAUUUUUUUAU